CUGCAGCCAUUCUGCCAUCCGGCGCUUGUGCAGGUGCCUUCCGCGGAGUCAGUCUAGGAAACGUUUCCAGGCGCCUAGUCUUUGCAAUCAAAAGAAUCAGAAAUGUUGCUGAGGCCCUAAGAGGCAGUUCUGCACAGCUGCUCAAAACAGAAUCGGAGGAUGGAUGAUGGGGGAUAGUGUGUGCGGCUCUUUGCUGGCUAGGUCUCCUACCAGACUUUUAAAAAGUAGCACGUGAAGGUGUAUGGAGGUCAGCACACAGCGCUGCUUAGGACUCUUUCUUCACAGGAAGUGGCAUGCCUGCCUCAACCUCAGCCCUCAGCCAAUGCCUUCUGACUCCGAGCCGAGAGCCCUUCCUGACCUCGUGGCUGAGCGUCUCUGGCCUUCUCUGCAGCUCCUCAACGGUGUGGCAGCGCAGCGCAGGCCCUCCUGGCUGACCUUCAGAAAUCUGUUGAAAUCUUAAAAUAAGAAAACAGGGAAGCUUGCUGCAUCGAUUGACUCUUCCUUUCACGAAAGAUUUCUCUGUAGCGUGCAAUGCUAUGCACUGGAAAAAGAAAGAAAGAAAGAAAUCUGUUGAAAUCACUCGUUCGUUGCUGUUGACCCUCUCCACACCGUUGUCUUUGAGAACCUGGAUUGUACUUAUAGGCUUUAUUUCAUGGAGGCUUAUGGCAAACAGGUGGCAAGGGCAUAUGUCUACUCUGCCAUUUAACUCGGAGAGUUUUGCCUGCUUUUUAAGGUAUCUUUGAGUACUUAAUAUGGGCCUCUAUCUGAUCUUUGCACCCUGACUUUUCAUAACGGUACAGUGCACGUGAAAAAUUCUGUUCAGUCAAGCCUGAACUGCCUUCUGAACUCAGAUGCUCAUUUUUGAUUCAGUUUCUUUGCAGCCCUAGGAGGACCAUUCUUCUUCCUUUCUUCCCCUAUGUAUUUGAAUAAUUCAUCAAGGCCAAAUUAAUUCCAUUUCCUUCAUCAAGGUGAAUUCAGCUAAUUGUAGCAUUCUCCCUUCUCUGAACUAUAAUUGAACCAUUAUUACGUGAUAAAGACAUGUCUAUACUAGACAACCUGGUACUACAUAUACUUUUUGUUAUAUAAUUAUGUAUGUGUUCUAAUUAGUUAAGUAACACUCUACUAGAUUCUGGAAGUUAUUUAAGGCAUGUCACAUAUGUACUUAUGCAGUUAGAUUUACCUUGCUGAAACCAAUGUCUCUUUUAGGGCAUAGCAUGAUACUGGAGAUAUGGUAAAAUAUUAAUACACAAAUGUACAAUUUAUUCAUUACAAAAAAUUUACACUGCAAUCAACUACAUACACACGUUCUUUUUUACAAUUUUUUAAAUUAUACUUUAAGUUCUAGGAUACAUAUGCAGAACGUAGGGUUUGUUACAUAGGUACACACGUGCCAUGGUGGUUUGCUGCACCCAUCAACCUGUCAUCUACAUUAGGUGUUUCUCCUAAUGCUAUCCCUCCCCUAUCCCCCCACCCCCUGACACGCCCUGGUGUGUGAUGUUCCCCUCCCUGUGUCCAUGUGUUCUCACGGUUCAACUCCCACUUGUGAGCGAGAACAUGUGGUGUUUGACACAUACUUUCUUUUUACUUAUCUUGAUUAUUUUUCUUUUCCUAUCCUGAGUUUUCCAGACAAAAUAGCUAAAGAAGUCAAGAAAACCAAAGGAUAUUAAAACGAAAGUGGCAACAGACAACAAAAGGAAUUAGUAAUUGACACUCAUUGAAUCCUUCUUCUUUUCCUUAUUAUUUUUAUCAGUUGUGCUUAUCUUUACUUGUGCCACAGUGAGCACUAGGAUUCUUCCAUGGUAGGUUGGUGUGUAAUAGUUAAAUGAGCACUCAUAAUAUUUAGGCAUUUCAUAGUGUGUCAUCUUAAAUUAAUGUAAUUUUCAUAAAAUUUACAGUUUGAAUAUAUUCUAUAUGCUAUUUUAAUUUUUUUCUGAGAAAGAACUGUCUGCUGAGAAAUAGUGAAAUGAAACUCUUCAUUUUGAUGACUGGGAAAAGAGAUGGGAGUAGUGUCUCCACUGCCAGACAGACUGCAUCUCUGCUGCCAGACGUCCUGGGAUGUUGCUGUGGGUUUUUGACAGGCUUCUUGCACUAUUGAAGUCAAAUUCUUUCCUAGUAGCACACACCUUUCCAACACUAAUCUAUGUGAAAAAUAAGAAAACCUUUCUUCCUGUUGUUGGCUGGAGCACCCCUGCAUCUUUGAAACUAUUAUUUCGUUUGUUAGGCAGAAGCUCCUGGGCAGCUGCCAGCCUUCUCUAUGGUGUUUGAGCACUGACCCCUGAGCACGGUAUGUGACAUAUUAUUAAAGAAUUAUUAAAGACCAAUGGCAUGCUUUGGUCAUUUUUCUUAUCUAACAGUCAUAGUAAAACUGAAAACUAGAAAUUAUGAAUGACAAGAAGGGGAAAUUUAAAUUAGGGCCCCAAUUUACUUCUUUUUACUAUCAGUUUUGAUAAUUUAUUUUUCAUUAGCAGAGGUAUUUUACAUGAAUUUUCUUAGUCUUCCCUUCCUUUCUUCAGGGUGCAGGUUCAAACUUUAUCUAACAAUUAAUAUACAUUUUUAAUUAUCAUACGAUAAUGGUAAAACAUUAAUUAAAAAUUUAUAUGUAUUUUAAAGUGUAAUGCUACCAUAUAAAUUAUGUAUAUUUUAUCCAUAUAUCUAUCUGACACUUACCUAUAUCAUGAAUGAAAAGAGGUUAUACGUAAAAUUCACGUUAUUAUUUUAUUUGCCAUGCAAUUUAGAAUUAAAUCAGGAUGUUGGCAGAAAGCUAGCUAAACCCUUAACUGACAUGUACCCUCUCAGCAAUGUAACUAAGGAUGAUCGCAGUCUGGCACCCAUGCUAGGCAUGUGGUAGAAAGCAUGCCAAUUCUUGGCACAACAUAAAACAGAAGGAAUUUGGUGUAGGACAUCUGGAUAUUUAGUACUUUAUGCAAAAAUACAUAGAUCCUUUAUUUUUCCUUCUCUUUUGACAUUUGUUGUACAAAGUCUUAAAAAUUUAUUCUUUGGAAUACAUAAGUUGGCCAUAUUCAUAUGCUUCUUGAAAAAGCUAUUUUUAAAAAACUUUUAGUUCUAGCAUUUAAUGCUGGAGACCAGUACUACCCACUUGGACUUUGUGCAGUGAUAGACACACUUUAUAUCUGCAAAAUCUAAUAAAGAGAUGACUAGCUACGUGUGUCCAUUGAACACUAGAAAUGUACUUGGUGCAACUGAGGAGCUGAAUUUUCAUUUUUAUUUAGUUUUAAUUCAUUUAAGUUUAGAUAGCCACAUGUGGUUGAUGGUUACCAUACUAGUAAAGCUAUAGGCUAUUAACAGUCUCAGUUUACCAGUGGUUAAGACUAGCUGAAGUAUAAGAUAUUUCUUAAUUACAGAAGGAAAAUUGUCUGAUGAAAUAUUAAGGACCUUUCAUUUACAUGCAUUAUAGUGAUAUUAAAGUAGUUUCAAAAUAGAAUAGCAUAAUAUUAAUAAAUACACAUGAAUAUAUGUUCAUGCACAUAUAGUUUUAUACAUAAAUAUGUGUGUUUAUUCAAACCAGAGAAUUCAUUAAAUCGGAUUAUACAGUAAUAAUAUACAAAAACUGAAAAACUGCUAUAAAAUUUCAUGGCUAGAAACAUGUUCUUGUCAGUAAAUCCGUAAAUAUUGGUACAUACAUAGCAAUAAAGCAUAAUAAACUUAAUGACAAAAUAAGUCCCACCAUAUAUGCAGUACCAAAAAGCAAAAAUGGUACUAUAUUUUCAUGAAUAUUGGUGACUAAAAAGUAAAGCAAUGUAAAAUAGGUUUGAUGAAAUUUCUUUUAAGAUAACCAUAGUUUGCAAAUAAAAUUAAUUUAUCAAAAAGCAGCAGGAACUAUACAUCUAGAUAGUAAUGUUUAAGAGCAUUCAAUGUUGUUCCCUGGAACUCAGAAAAGUAAAUUUCUUCUUAUUAUUAGAUAACUAGUAAAAAGUGAACAAGAGUAUUUACUCUAUGAAUUUUAACCUGUGAGUUUAGUAGUUCUAUAUCUUAAUCUAAAAUUUUAAUAAAAUAGCCCAAAUUUUAUCUCUCCU
rnacentral:lncRNA from 1 species